CCUACGGGGGGCAGCAGUGGGGAAUAUUGGACAAUGGGGGGAACCCUGAUCCAGCCAUGCCGCGUGUGGGAAGAAGGCCCUCGGGUUGUAAAGCACUUUCAGUGAGGAAGAACGCCUGGUGGUUAAUACCCAUCAGGAAAGACAUCACUCACAGAAGAAGCACCGGCUAACUCCGUGCCAGCAGCCGCGGUAAUACGGAGGGGGCGAGCGUUAAUCGGAAUUACUGGGCGUAAAGCGCGCGUAGGUGGCUUGAUAAGCCGGUUGUGAAAGCCCCGGGCUCAACCUGGGAACGGCAUCCGGAACUGUCAAGCUAGAGUGCAGGAGAGGAAGGUAGAAUUCCCGGUGUAGCGGUGAAAUGCGUAGAGAUCGGGAGGAAUACCAGUGGCGAAGGCGGCCUUCUGGACUGACACUGACACUGAGGUGCGAAAGCGUGGGUAGCAAACAGGAUUAGAUACCCGAGUAGUC
rnacentral:rRNA from 1 species